rnacentral:rRNA from 1 species
CCUACGGGUGGCAGCAGUGAGGAAUAUUGGUCAAUGGGCGUGAGCCUGAACCAGCCAAGUCGCGUGAAGGAAGAAGGUUCUAUGGUUUGUAAACCUCUUUUAUCGGGGAGCAAAAGACGCCACGCGUGGCGUUCUGCGUUUACCCUAUGAAUAAGCAUCGGCUAACUCCGUGCCAGCAGCCGCGGUAAUACGGAGGAUGCGAGCGUUAUCCGGAUUUAUUGGGUUUAAAGGGUGCGCAGGUGGUUAUUUAAGUCAGGGGUGAAAGUUGGUGGCUCAACCUUAACGUUGCCGUUGAAACUGGAUGACUUGAGUGUGUGUGAGGUAUGCGGAAUGCGUGGUGUAGCGGUGAAAUGCAUAGAUAUCACGCAGAACUCCGAUUGCGAAGGCAGCUUACUAGGCCAUAACUGACGCUGAUGCACGAAAGCGUGGGGAUCAAACAGGAUUAGAUACCCGAGUAGUC